AGAGUUUGAUCAUGGCUCAGGAUGAACGCUGGCGGCGUGCCUAAUACAUGCAAGUCGAACGAGGUGCUUGAGUAGCAAUACAAGAGUAUCCUAGUGGCGAACGGGUGAGUAACGCGUUGGUGACCUACCCAAGUGUGGGAUAACAGUUCGAAAGAACUGCUAAUACCGCAUGUGGUUAUUGGAUUUAGAAACUGAUAACUAAAGGAGCAAUUCGCGUUUGGGAGGGACCUGCGUCCCAUCAGCUAGUUGGUGAGGUAAUGGCUCACCAAGGCUACGACGGGUAGGGGACCUGAGGAGGGUGACCCCCCACAAUGGAACUGAAACACGGUCCAUACACCUACGGGUGGCAGCAGUAGGGAAUAUUGCACAAUGGGCGAAAGCCUGAUGCAGCAACGCCGCGUGUGCGAUGAAGGCCUUCAGGUCGUAAAGCACUUUUCUGAGAGAUGAGCAAGGACAGUAUCUCAGGAAUAAGUCUCGGCUAACUACGUG
rnacentral:rRNA from 1 species